GACCUCGGAUCAGGUAGGGAUACCCGCUGAACUUAAGCAUAUCAAUAAGCGGAGGAAAGGAAACCAACAGGGAUUGCCUCAGUAACGGCGAGUGAAGCGGCAACAGCUCAAAUUUGAAAUCUGGCUCUUUCGGGGUCCGAGUUGUAAUUUGUAGAAGAUGCUUUGGGUGUGGCUCCGGUCUAAGUUCCUUGGAACAGGACGUCAUAGAGGGUGAGAAUCCCGUAUGUGACUGGUUGCCUUCGCCCGUGUAAAGCUCUUUCGACGAGUCGAGUUGUUUGGGAAUGCAGCUCAAAAUGGGUGGUAAAUUUCAUCUAAAGCUAAAUAUUGGCCAGAGACCGAUAGCGCACAAGUAGAGUGAUCGAAAGAUGAAAAGCACUUUGGAAAGAGAGUUAAACAGUACGUGAAAUUGUUGAAAGGGAAGCGC
rnacentral:rRNA from 1 species